ACGCUGGCGGCGUGCCUAAUACAUGCAAGUAGAACGCUGAAGGAGGAGCUUGCUUCUCUGGAUGAGUUGCGAACGGGUGAGUAACGCGUAGGUAACCUGCCUGGUAGCGGGGGAUAACUAUUGGAAACGAUAGCUAAUACUGCAUAACAGUAGAUGUUGCAUGACAUUUGCUUAAAAGGUGCAAUUGCAUCACUACCAGAUGGACCUGCGUUGUAUUAGCUAGUUGGUGGGGUAACGGCUCACCAAGGCGACGAUACAUAGCCGACCUGAGAGGGUGAUCGGCCACACUGGGACUGAGACACGGCCCAGACUCCUACGGGAGGCAGCAGUAGGGAAUCUUCGGCAAUGGACGGAAGUCUGACCGAGCAACGCCGCGUGAGUGAAGAAGGUUUUCGGAUCGUAAAGCUCUGUUGUAAGAGAAGAACAGGUGUGAGAGUGGAAAGUUCACACUGUGACGGUAUCUUACCAGAAAGGGACGGCUAACUACGUGCCAGCAGCCGCGGUAAUACGUAGGUCCCGAGCGUUGUCCGGAUUUAUUGGGCGUAAAGCGAGCGCAGGCGGUUAGAUAAGUCUGAAGUUAAAGGCUGUGGCUUAACCAUAGUACGCUUUGGAAACUGUUUAACUUGAGUGCAAGAGGGGAGAGUGGAAUUCCAUGUGUAGCGGUGAAAUGCGUAGAUAUAUGGAGGAACACCGGUGGCGAAAGCGGCUCUCUGGCUUGUAACUGACGCUGAGGCUCGAAAGCGUGGGGAGCAAACAGGAUUAGAUACCCCUGGUAGUCCACGCCGUAAACGAUGAGUGCUAGGUGUUAGACCCUUUCCGGGGUUUAGUGCCGCAGCUAACGCAUUAAGCACUCCGCCUGGGGAGUACGACCGCAAGGUUGAAACUCAAAGGAAUUGACG
rnacentral:rRNA from 1 species